UACGAAGGGGGCUAGCGUUGCUCGGAAUUACUGGGCGUAAAGGGCGCGUAGGCGGAUAGUUCAGUCAGAGGUGAAAGCCCAGGGCUCAACCUUGGAACUGCCUUUGAUACUGGCUAUCUUGAGUUUGGGAGAGGUAUGUGGAACUCCGAGUGUAGAGGUGAAAUUCGUAGAUAUUCGGAAGAACACCAGUGGCGAAGGCGACAUACUGGCCCAAUACUGACGCUGAGGCUCGAAAGCGUGGGGAGCAAACAGG
rnacentral:rRNA from 1 species